AAAACAUCAUGAUGUCAGAUUCCCAGAAACAGAUGAAUGGAUGAAAACCUGGAACUGAGAGUCCAAGUGAGCAGAUAUCAGUCAGAGAGAAUAAAAUGUGGACUUUCAGCUCAGAAUCAGAGUCUGUGUUCAUGAAGCAGCCUCUGUUUGCUGCAUGAUGCUGAAUUACAGUAAAUCUAACCAAUAAUAUGAUGGAACUCUUCCAGCUGGGACACUAUCGGAGUGGUUUCAUGAUCAAACCUGCUCAGUCAUCGUCCUGAUAUUGGACAGAUAUGCAGAAAACCUCAUUUACUAGAUUUUCUCAUCAAGUUCCUCUGACUGGAACCAAACUCUACAUUUUUAAAGCUUCUCUUGGUGCCAGAAAGAGGAAAAUAAGUCAUCAUCUCAGGGUGAAAAUAAAUGUUUUGUGGUUGGUGGAGAAUCAGAAUAGACAAAAACACUGAGAUGUUUGGACCAAACUUUCACCUUCAUAGAACUGGUUUGUAUUCUUCUAUCACAGCAGGUUGAACCUUUGAAGACCAGACGUUCACAUCAAUGAGAAGAUUAAACUUCAGGACUGCAGAUAUGUUAUUUAUCAUUAUUAUUUCAGACAUCCAUCCACACACUGAUAUGAAGAAAAUCUCAUAGAAAGUCCUCAUGAUCUUCUUCCUUAAGAAUUCUUGACUCAAAAAUUAAUGUUGCCUUUGAGCCCAGAUUUUACAGGAGAUCAGCUCAAUGUUCACACCUUAAAACACAUCAGUGAAGUUGGAGAGGCUCAGACGUGGAGCAUUCAGUGAACUGAGGCAGAAUGAGCCAUGUGGACGAGCUGCUGCUGCCAUGAUGGAUCAGAGGUCUGGUUCUGGUCCAAUCAGAGCUGCUGCUGCCAUGAUGGAUCAGAGGUCUGGUUCUGGUCCAAUCAGAGCUGCUGCUGCCAUGAUGGAUCAGAGGUCUGGUUCUGGUCCAAUCAGAGCUGCUGCUGCCAUGAUGGAUCAGCGGUCUGGUUCUGGUCCAAUCAGAGCUGCUGCUGCCAUGAUGGAUCAGUGGUCUGGUUCUGGUCCAAUCAGAGCUGCUGCUGCCAUGAUGGAUCAGUGGUCGGGUUCUGGUCCAAUCAGAGCUGCUGCUGCCAUGAUGGAUCAGAGGUCUGGUUCUGGUCCAAUCAGAGCUGCUGCUGCCAUGAUGGAUCAGCGGUCGGGUUCUGGUCCAAUCAGAGCUGCUGCUGCCAUGAUGGAUCAGCGGUCGGGUUCUGGUCCAAUCAGAGCUGCUGCUGGACCUUUGAGGACUAAACUGGAUUCAUCUUCAGUUUGUCACCUCAACAUGAUGUGAUGAAAACAGAAAAACAAACUCUCUCUGGGCUCCAAGGCUUCAGCUGACAUGUUUCCAGGACACUUUGUUCUCAUCAGCUCAAUGUGCUGCAGGUAGAGAAGCUCAACAACUUUGACUGCAGCUGGAAAU